UGGGGAAUCUUGCGCAAUGCGCGAAAGCGUGACGCAGCAACGCCGCGUGCGGGAAGACGGCCUUCGGGUUGUAAACCGCUUUCAGUUGGGACGAAGCUCCGUCGGUGAAUAGCCGGCUGGAGUGACGGUACCUUCACAAGAAGCCCCGGCUAACUACGUGCCAGCAGCCGCGGUAAUACGUAGGGGGCAAGCGUUGUCCGGAAUCAUUGGGCGUAAAGAGCGUGUAGGCGGCCCGAUAAGUCCGCUGUGAAAGUCCAGGGCUCAACCCUGGGAUGCCGGUGGAUACUGUCGGGCUCGAGUCCGGAAGAGGAGUGUGGAAUUCCUGGUGUAGCGGUGAAAUGCGCAGAUAUCAGGAGGAACACCAAUGGCGAAGGCAGCACUCUGGGACGUGACUGACGCUGAGACGCGAAAGCGUGGGGAGCAAACA
rnacentral:rRNA from 1 species